UACGUAGGGGGCAAGCGUUGUCCGGAUUUAUUGGGCGUAAAGAGCGUGUAGGCGGCCAGGUAGGUCCGUUGUGAAAACUGGAGGCUUAACCUCCAGCUGUCGAUGGAAACCAUCUGGCUAGAGUCCGGAAGAGGAGAGUGGAAUUCCUGGUGUAGCGGUGAAAUGCGCAGAUAUCAGGAAGAACACCCGUGGCUAAGGCGGCUCUCUAGUACGGUACUGACGCUGAGACGCGAAAGCGUGGGGAGCAAACAGG
rnacentral:rRNA from 1 species